rnacentral:rRNA from 1 species
AUGUCUUUUGUGGAGCGACGACACCUUCAAAGAAGAAAAGGUUUGAUCAAGUCAAAGGCUGAUACGAUAUUCAAGCAGAAGGAGUAUAAGAUAGCAACAAAGAUUUAUGAUUUGGCAAUAGCUCAUGCAGAGAGUGCAACACUGUAUGCAAAAAGGAGUGUUUGUAAACUGCUCAAGGGUGAUGGUGAAGGUGCUUUGUCAGAUGCUCUCAUGUGCAGAAUGAUGCGACCUGAUUGGGCAAAAGCUUGCUACCGUCAAGCUGCGGCUCACAUGCUACUCAAGGAGUAUAAACAAGCCUGUGAUGCUCUCUUGGACGCACAAAAUUUAGAUCCUGGGAAUGCCGAAAUAGAGGGUGAACUACGGAAGGCUAGGGAACUCAUGAAGAACCCACCCGGUGAAGGCGAGCAGUGA